AUGGCGGACGGCGAGGAGCCCCUGGUCCAAGAAUCCACCGUCCCCGUCGUUCCCGCCGCCGACCCCUCCGGCCGCUCCGUCCGAUUGGUCUACACGCUCCUCCCUGGCGCCGAGCCCUUCGCCCGUCUCCCGGCCCUGCCGUCCCCGCCCCGCGACCCCGGACCCGUUCUUGCCCGCAGCGGGGCCCUGGCGGAAUUCCGUGGGUGGCCGGGGGGCCGCUCCAAGCUGUGGAGGCGGUGGGUGGACAAGCUCCAGCCGCGGCACGAGGUACUGUGGCGGGACCUCGGGAUCCUGGACGCCAUCCUCACCACCACGUACCGGGUGUGGCGCGACGAGGGCGCCCUGCUCCAGCUCGCCGCGUUCUGGUCCGCCGCCACCAGCACCUUCGUCUUCCCCUGGGGCGAGGCCACCGUCACGCUCCAGGACGUCGCCGCGCUCGCGGGCCUGCCCCUCGUCGGCGGCCCCGUGCGCGCGCCGGUGCCGGAGGAGCUCGAGAAGGAGGUGGGCGCGCUCGAGGCCGUCCGGGUUGUGCUCAACCAGAGCAAGAACAGGAAGCCGUCGUACGGAGUGUGGGUGAAGCACUUCCUCAACCGCGCGCCGGACAAGGAGGCGUCCGCCGCGGGUGGCCGCGGCGACCUGGAAGAGCACGGCGCGUUCCUGUCCAUGUGGCUUUCUCGCUUCGUGCUCCCAUCACCGCCGUUAGACGUCGUCCAGUCAGCGACGUUCCCCAUCGCCGUCCGUCUGGCGCGCGGCCAGAGCGUGGCGCUCGCGCCCGCCGCACUCGCCAGCAUCUACAGCGACCUCUCGGCGCUCAAGCGUCGCCUGGGCUUGCACAAGAGAAAGGAGCCGCCUUUCGGAGUCUCCGCACCGAUGCAGAUUCUCCAGCUUUGGGUCUGGGAGCGUUUCCCCGAGCUGCGCCCCAAGAUGGUGAGCUCCCGUGCUCCUGAUGUCGUUGGGAUGCCAAGGGUUGCCCGGUGGCAUAACGUCCGCAAUGUGCUCGACACGAAGUAUGUUUACAGAGUGCUCAUGUCGCCCAAGGAGUUUGAGUGGCGACCCUAUGGAAGUAGCAGUGUUGCUCUGCAGCCCAAGACCGGUGGCUGCUGGGUGCGUGGCCAGGACAUCACAAGAAGCAAAGCACUGUUGUCAUUUGCGCGGUGUUUGCGUGCUUGUGAGCUUGUGGGCAUGAAUUGCAUUGAGAGGUACCGUCCUCAUCGUGUUGCAAGGCAGCUGGGCUUUUAUCAGGAUGUCCCAGGAAAUGUAGUCCGUGUAAAUUCAA